rnacentral:lncRNA from 12 species
AUGGAAGAGAAGUGCCGAAGAGAUAUGGGUGGGGAAAAGUGGAGAAGAAUAGACACCGUGACUUCCGCUGAUCCUCAGUUUGAGAUGGAAUGUUCCCUGUUUGCCUGCUUGUGGAUGCAUGUUUUGACUACAGAAGCUAGUCUUUGGAGAGAUACAAGUACUACAAAACAUGUGCUGAUACAAAAACAGAAAUACAAAAAUAUCACAUGGCAUUUCCACUCUUACUAGAAGCACCAAGAAUCUCAGAGGCUCUCGUGUCAGCCCAGCAUCUGUAUUCAUUUCCAUGAGGUAUUUAUCCAAUAUGUAUAUUUUGUUGAGCAUUUUAGCAACAUUAGAAUUAAUCAAAUCUGCUACAGAAAUCAAUUUACCUUAAGGUUUCUCAACACAGGUUUGUGUCAUACUUUGUUUGAAUGAAGGCAAAGGAGUAUACAUUUAUUGUCGCCUGUGGAUUGAACUGUCUGUUACAUAUUGCAAAAGCCAC